ACUCAAAUGAAUUGACGGGGGCCCGCACAAGCGGUGGAGCAUGUUGUUUAAUACGUCACUAACCGUAGAACCUUACCAGGGUUUGACAUCCACUGCACCGGGGUGAAAGCCUCGUCUGGAGCAAUCCAGCGGUGAGACAGGUGUUGCAUGGCUGUCGUCAGCUCGUGUCGUGAGAUGUUGGGUUAAGUCCCGCAACGAGCGCAACCCUCAUCCCAUGUUGCCAGCGCGUAAUGGCGGGAACUCUUGGGAAACUGCCGGGGUAACUCGGAGGAAGGUGAGGACGACGUCAAGUCAGCAUGGCCCUUACAUCCUGGGCUACAAACAUGCUACAAUGGACGGUACACAGAGGGACCCGAGCCCGCGAGGGGGAGGCAAUCCCACAAAUCCGUUCUCAGUUCGGAUCGCAGGCUGCAACUCGCCUGCGUGAAGCUGGAAUCGCUAGUAACCGCAGGUCAGCUAAACUGCGGUGAAUACGUUCCCGGGCCUUGCACACACCGCCCGU
rnacentral:rRNA from 1 species